UACAGAGGGUGCGAGCGUUAAUCGGAAUUACUGGGCGUUAAAGCGCGCUAGGCGGCUUUGCAAGUCGGGUGUGAAAUCCCCAGGCUUAACCUGGGAACUGCAUUCGAGACUGCAUUGCUAGAGUAUGGGAGAGGAAGUGGAUUCCGGUGUAGCGGUGAAAUGCGUAGAUAUCGGAAGGAACAUCAGUGGCGAAGCGACUUCCUGGACCAAUACUGACGUUCAUGUGCGAAAGCGUGGGGAGCAACAGG
rnacentral:rRNA from 1 species